UAACAAUACGGUUCAGUGCACUGUGAAUUUGCGGUUUAUUAUUCUUCUCUUUCUGUUUGUACAAUCUGGGUUUUUUCAUCUUCUGUAUUGGUUUUGCCACGGACGCAUGUUUUUGGGUGCCUCUCUUGGGGUGAGAUUUGAGUUGGGAUAUAUAUAGAAGAGGAAAGGAAACUAUUUGGUGCUUUUUGUUAUUUUUUUGGGCAGUAAUGGUGUCUGUAAAUGACCCGAUGGAAUCAUUUCUAAAUUCUGUUCAAGGGGUGAAAGAUGCAAUGUCACCGCUUGAGCUUGGGAUUCGGAAAGCGGCUAAAGAUCUGGAGAGUUGCUGGGGAAUUUCUAAGAACGAUAAGGUUUAUCAUCUUGAAUUGAAUUCCACUGAUAAUAGGAUUCAUAACAAUAAGGUUCAGAUCUGUGCUGUGAAAAAGAGGAGUACUAGUAAUAUCAAUGGCAAUAAUGGGAACUCUGUGUCUGGUGAAGAGAGAAAGAAAGGUUUAUCCAUCAAGUUUCCUAUUAGAACUUUGUUGGGCAUGUUUUCACAGAAUCUGGAACAUGGGUAUAAUAAGAACAAUGGAAGCAAAGCUGAGUUGGGGAAGAAAGGGAUGAAAGAGAUGGAAAUGAGGAGUGAAGAUGGGUCUUGCACAAAUUGUUUGCAGUUUGCAGUGACUUGGUCCUUCUUAGUUAAUAGGUUUGUUCAGGCAUUUCCUAGCCCUUUCAAGACAAGCAAGAAGCGGUUCCAGAACGUCGGUGAUGAUGGUCGAGGUAAUUUGCAUUUGUGCGAACAUGGAUCGAAAUCAAAGGUUUCGAGCGAAUUAAAGCAUAAGGAAUCACAAGUUCAAUAUGUUAAAGCAGUCCAGAAUGAUAGUGAAAACCAUAAAGAACGGAAACAUGUAUCGCUUGAACGUGUUAUAGGUUUUAUUUUUGAUCAAUUGGCUCAUAAUCUACAGAAAUUUGAUCUGAGUUUACAGCAAGCAGACAGCAAAGAUUGUGAUUAUGAUUGUUCAACUCCACCCCCGGAAUCCUUCCAGUUUGAUCAUUUGAGGGCAGUCAUGAAUAUUUGGGAAGGUCGAAAGGUGGAUGUAAAUGGGUUGUUGGGGAAUUUGAACUUUGCAAGAGUAGGCGUUCCUUCAGGUGUAGUUGGAGUAUCUUCUUCGGCCAACGAAGAAGGUGAUGGUGGUAUCAGUGCUGGCAGUGGGGAGGAAACAGGGGGUAGUUCAUCACAGAAGUUGGCAAGUGGGUUACUCAGUAUUCCCUUAUCAAAUGUAGAGCGUUUGAGAUCCACACUAUUUACAAUUUCAUUGCCGGAGCUAAUUGAGCUUGUGCCACAGCUGGGGCGAUCUUCUAAAGACUAUCCUGACAAGAAGAAGCUAUUCUCUGUCCAGGAUUUCUUUAGAUACACAGAGUCUGAAGGAAAGAGGUUCUUUGAGGAACUAGAUAGAGAUGGUGAUGGUCAAGUAACAUUGGAAGAUCUUGAGAUUGCUAUGAAAAAAAGGAAAUUGCCACCGAGAUAUGCUCGGGAAUUUAUGCAGCGUGCUAGAAGUCACUUGUUUUCAAAAUCAUUCGGUUGGAAACAGUUUCUGUCCUUGAUGGAGCAGAAGGAACCGACCAUUCUCCGUGCUUAUACUUCCCUCUGUUUAAACAAGUCUGGGACCCUUAAAAAGAGUGAAAUAUUAGCAUCGCUUAAAAAUGCUGGACUUCCAGCAAAUGAAGACAAUGCUUUUGCAAUGAUGCGAUUUCUAAAUGCUGACACAGAAGAAUCUAUUUCUUAUGGGCAUUUUCGGAAUUUUAUGCUUUUGCUUCCUUCUGAUCGACUUCAGGAUGAUCCUAGGAGCAUAUGGUUUGAAGCUGCUACUGUUGUUGCUGUUGCACCACCUGUGGAGAUACCAGCUGGAAGUGUUCUAAGAUCUGCAUUGGCUGGGGGGAUAUCAUGUGCACUCUCUUGUGCUCUGAUGCAUCCUGUUGAUACAAUAAAGACUCGGGUGCAAGCAUCAACCCUUACUUUCCCAGAGAUCAUUUCAAAGCUUCCAGAGAUUGGUGUUCAGGGAUUAUACAGGGGUUCAAUCCCUGCAAUUCUAGGACAGUUUUCGAGCCAUGGUCUGCGAACUGGGAUAUUUGAAGCUAGUAAACUUCUGCUUAUAAAUGUUGCUCCAACACUCCCAGACAUACAGGUUCAGUCUGUAUCAUCAUUCUGCAGCACAUUUUUGGGGACAGCAGUCCGAAUCCCCUGUGAGGUAUUGAAGCAGCGCUUGCAGGCAGGUCUUUUUGAUAACGUAGGACAGGCUAUCAUUGGUACUUUGCAGCAAGAUGGUCUGAAGGGUUUUUUCCGUGGGACUGGGGCUACACUUUGCCGUGAGGUUCCAUUUUAUGUUGCUGGCAUGGGCCUAUAUGCUGAAUCCAAAAAGGUAAGGAGAUUUGUGUGUACAAACAUGCAAUUUUUAUCUAUUUUUUCAUUUUGAUAUUUCAAAGUUGCAGAGUUCUGCUUUUAUCAUGUUUCAACAACUGAUUUUUUUUCUUCUCAUAAUCCAUUACCUACUCUUUCUUAUAGUAAAUUUCAUGUCAAAGACUGGACUAGCAAUCAUGUUUGAUUGUAGUCUGAUAGGAAUUUGUUUAAUGAUAACACUUAUUCAUUAUUUUAUUUUAAAUUAUACAAGUAAGUAGAAUGUUAAUGAUCAUAGAAGGGGGAAGCAAUUAUAUUUUCUAUGCUUGUUAUAUGUUAAAUUUAAUAGUUUUACGAAGGGAUGAAGUUAUGGCUACAGAAGCAUACAUGGGAAAUUAAGGAGAAUAUUACUAUAUUUUGUCCCAAACGUUAAGUCAAGAAUUUUUUUUUCUUCCUUUAAGCUUAUCCAUGCCAUCACUACCCUAUGCUAAAUUUUCAGAGAUACCAAUUUUCCAUUGGAAAUGAGUCUUCUAUAUGAGCAUAAAUCUUCAGCCUGCCUAAUAGUUUUUAGGUAAGAAAUUUUAAUAGGUUGAGAUAUUAAAAAAUAGGCUAAUAAAUGUGGAGAAUGCGUUGUAUAAUUGUGGAUAUGAAUAUUUAUAAAAAGGUGUCAUUUGAAAUUCACUUCAAAAGAGUGCUUAACAACACGCAUAAAUUAAAUUCUUUUUAUGAAAUAAAAUAAGUCAACUUUCAUUCACAAUAUACACUAAAAUAAAAUCCAAAUCCCUUACUUCAAACCAUGGUAUCCAAACAUAGCAUAAAAUUACAUGGAAUAAUUUUUUGUAUACUUUAUAUAAUUAUAUACUGAAGAAUUAUUUUGCUUCUUCUAGUUUGCUCAACAACUUCUACGACGGGAGUUAGAACCCUGGGAAACAAUUGUAGUUGGGGCCUUAUCAGGAGGGCUAGCUGCCGUGGUCACUACCCCAUUUGAUGUGAUGAAAACUAGAAUGAUGACUGCACAGGGAAGAUCCUUGCCGAUGACAAUGGUUGCCUUCUCUAUACUUCGUCAUGAGGGACCCCUUGGCCUAUUUAAAGGAGCAGUACCAAGGUUUUUCUGGAUUGCCCCUUUAGGUGCCAUGAACUUUGCUGGUUAUGAGCUAGCAAGGAAGGCGAUGGACAAAAAUGAGGAGACAUCAAGGGAUCAGCCGUCUCAGAAGAAGUUAACUAGUUCUGGAUAGCCUUUGUGAAACUUCAAAAACAUUUUAUACGGAGCCUCCAGGUUUUUGUUUUGUGAAUGCUGCUGGAAGUUUUGUGCCCUUUCCGAACUUUUAGCAGCAUAUACAACAGAUAUCAUCUGCCGACAAGUCUUCCCCCUCUCCCUUCCUUCUUCAGCAAAAACAUUGUACUUUUCAGUUUCUUGUUGCAAAAUUUCAUGAUCUAUUAAGGAUGGCUGCACAAGUCUUUUUUGCUUAAUCUUGUAUCUGCUUCAUUUGUGUAUAUUUCGUGUGCAGUUAAUUCUAUUCUUUCCUUAAUCUGAAAUUCUAAUUCUGUAUGGCAUGUACAUCUCUUUUAGGAGAAGAACUCUGUCUUUUUCCUCUCUAAUUUGACUACUCAAUUUGAUAGCUGCGAUCAAUAAUGGCGGUAUCCUUCUAUGCAGGGUAUUUUGAGAAGUCUUUCCUUUGUUAUUGACAUUGUAAAUAAAUUAAUAAUUUGGUUGCUG
rnacentral:misc_RNA from 1 species